UACGAAGGGUGCAAGCGUUACUCGGAAUUACUGGGCGUAAAGCGUGCGUAGGCGGUUUGUUAAGUCCGUUGUGAAAGCCCUGGGCUCAACCUGGGAAUUGCAGUGGAUACUGGCGAGCUAGAGUGCGGUAGAGGAUGGUGGAAUUCCCGGUGUAGCGGUGAAAUGCGUAGAGAUCGGGAGGAACACCCGUGGCGAAGGCGGCCAUCUGGACCAGCACUGACACUGAGGCACGAAAGCGUGGGGAGCAAACGGG
rnacentral:rRNA from 1 species